rnacentral:rRNA from 1 species
UGCAAGUCGACGCUGAAGCUUGGUGCUUGCACUGGGUGGAUGAGUGGCGAACGGGUGAGUAAUACGUGAGUAACCUGCCCUUGACUCUGGGAUAAGCCUGGGAAACUGGGUCUAAUACUGGAUACGACAUGUCACCGCAUGGUGGUGUGUGGAAAGGGUUUUACUGGUUUUGGAUGGGCUCACGGCCUAUCAGCUUGUUGGUGGGGUAAUGGCUCACCAAGGCGACGACGGGUAGCCGGCCUGAGAGGGUGACCGGCCACACUGGGACUGAGACACGGCCCAGACUCCUACGGGAGGCAGCAGUGGGGAAUAUUGCACAAUGGGCGAAAGCCUGAUGCAGCGACGCCGCGUGAGGGAUGACGGCCUUCGGGUUGUAAACCUCUUUCAGCACGGAAGAAGCGAAAGUGACGGUACGUGCAGAAGAAGCGCCGGCUAACUACGUGCCAGCAGCCGCGGUAAUACGUAGGGCGCAAGCGUUGUCCGGAAUUAUUGGGCGUAAAGAGCUCGUAGGCGGUUUGUCGCGUCUGCUGUGAAAGCCCGGGGCUUAACCCCGGGUGUGCAGUGGGUACGGGCAGACUUGAGUGCAGUAGGGGAGACUGGAAUUCCUGGUGUAGCGGUGAAAUGCGCAGAUAUCAGGAGGAACACCGAUGGCGAAGGCAGGUCUCUGGGCUGUUACUGACGCUGAGGAGCGAAAGCAUGGGGAGCGAACAGGAUUA